AGAGUUUGAUCAUGGCUCAGAGCGAACGCUGGCGGCAGGCUUAACACAUGCAAGUCGAGCGGGCGUAGCAAUACGUCAGCGGCAGACGGGUGAGUAACGCGUGGGAACGUACCUUUUGGUUCGGAACAACACAGGGAAACUUGUGCUAAUACCGGAUAAGCCCUUACGGGGAAAGAUUUAUCGCCGAAAGAUCGGCCCGCGUCUGAUUAGCUAGUUGGUGAGGUAAUGGCUCACCAAGGCGACGAUCAGUAGCUGGUCUGAGAGGAUGAUCAGCCACAUUGGGACUGAGACACGGCCCAAACUCCUACGGGAGGCAGCAGUGGGGAAUAUUGGACAAUGGGCGCAAGCCUGAUCCAGCCAUGCCGCGUGAGUGAUGAAGGCCCUAGGGUUGUAAAGCUCUUUUGUGCGGGAAGAUAAUGACGGUACCGCAAGAAUAAGCCCCGGCUAACUUCGUGCCAGCAGCCGCGGUAAUACGAAGGGGGCUAGCGUUGCUCGGAAUCACUGGGGCGUAAAAGGGUGCGUAGGCGGGGUCUUUAAGUCAGGGGUGAAAUCCUGGAGCUCAACUCCAGAACUGCCUUUGAUACUGAGGAUCUUGAGUUCGGGAGAGGUGAGUGGAACUGCGAGUGUAGAGGUGAAAUUCGUAGAUAUUCGCAAGAACACCAGUGGCGAAGGCGGCUCACUGGCCCGAUACUGACGCUGAGGCACGAAAGCGUGGGGAGCAAACAGGAUUAGAUACCCUAGUAGUCC
rnacentral:rRNA from 1 species